AGAGUUUGAUCCUGGCUCAGGACGAACGCUUGCGGCGUGCCUAAGAAAUGCAAGUCGAACGGGCAUCUCCAGCAAUGGGGGUGUCAGUGGCGAACGGUCGCGUAACACGUAGGCAACCUGCCCUAAAGUGGGGGAUAACUCUCCGAAAGGAGGGCUAAUACCGCAUGUGGUCACGGACUCGCAUGAGUUUGUGUCCAAAGGCUUCAGCAAUGGAGUCGCUUCGGGAGGGGCUCGCGGGCUAUCAGCUUGUUGGUGGGGUAACGGCCUACCAAGGCAACGACGGCUAGCUGGUCUGAGAGGACGACCAGCCACACUGGGACUGAGACACGGCCCAGACUCCUACGGGAGGCAGCAGUGGGGAAUCUUGCGCAAUGGGCGAAAGCCUGACGCAGCAACGCCGCGUGGGGGAUGAAGGCCCUCGGGUUGUAAACCCCUUUCAGCAGGGACGAAACUGACGGUACCUGCAGAAGAAGCCCCGGCCAACUACGUGCCAGCAGCCGCGGUAAUACGUAGGGGGCGAGCGUUGUCCGGAAUUAUUGGGCGUAAAGAGCUCGUAGGCAGUUUGGCAAGUCGGGUGUGAAAUCUCCGAGCUCAACUCGGAGAGGCCACUCGAGACUGCUAUGACUAGAGUCCGGUAGGGGACCAUGGAAUUCCUGGUGUAGCGGUGAAAUGCGCAGAUAUCAGGAGGAACACCGGUGGCGAAGGCGGUGGUCUGGGCCGGCACUGACGCUGAGGAGCGAAAGCGUGGGGAGCGAACAGGAUUAGAUACCCCAGUAGUCC
rnacentral:rRNA from 1 species